CCUACGGGGGGCAGCAGUGAGGAAUAUUGGUCAAUGGGCGAGAGCCUGAACCAGCCAAGUCGCGUGAGGGAGUACUGCCCUAUGGGUUGUAAACCUCUUUUGUCGGGGAGCAAAAGCCGGACGUGUCCGGCUGUGAGAGUACCCGAAGAAAAAGCAUCGGCUAACUCCGUGCACGCAGCCGCGGUAAUACGGAGGAUGCGAGCGUUAUCCGGAUUUAUUGGGUUUAAAGGGAGCGUAGGUGGAUUGUUAAGUCAGUUGUUAAAGUUUGCGGCUCAACCGUAAAAUUGCAGUGGAAACUGGCAGUCUUGAGUACAGUAGAGGUGGGCGGAAUUCGUGGUGUAGCGGUGAAAUGCUUAGAUAUCACGAAGAACUCCGAUUGCGAAGGCAGCUCACUGGACUGCAACUGACACUGAGGCUCGAAAGUGUGGGUAUCAAACAGGAUUAGAUACCCGGGUAGUC
rnacentral:rRNA from 1 species